AGCUUUGUGCAGUGGCAGUAUCUAGGAUCAUAGCCAGUGAGGUUCAUCCAAGGCACCAUUAUUGCUAAUUGAAAACUUUCCAUUAAAAAAAUUAAAAAGUAAUAAAAAAUUUUUAAAAAG
rnacentral:snRNA from 1 species